GCCUCUGAGGAUCAAGGUGAUCGCCUCGUUUCAAUAUGAGUUCGAGCAAGCCGGACAUUGAAUGAGGAGGCGGAGGUUCGAUUCCUUCCAGAGGCA